rnacentral:rRNA from 1 species
GUAGGAUCCGAGCGUUAUCCGAAUUUACUGGGCGUAAAGCGCGUGUAGGCGGCUGGGCAAGUUGGACGUGAAAGCUCCUGGCUCAACUAGGAGAGGUCGUUCAAAACUGCCUUUCUAGAGGGCGACAGAGGGAGGUGGAAUUCCCGGUGUAGUGGUGAAAUGCGUAGAUAUCGGGAGGAACACCAGUGGCGAAGGCGGCCUCCUGGGUCGCACCUGACGCUCAGACGCGAAAGCUAGGGGAGCAAACGGGAUUAGAUACCCCGGUAGUCCUAGCUGUAAACGAUGUGGACUUGGCGUUGGUGGGGUCAAAUCCCAUCAGUGCCCGGAGCUAACGCGAUAAGUCCACCGCCUGGGGGACUACGGUCGCAAGGCUA